rnacentral:lncRNA from 1 species
UCAGAAUUGUUGGACCUUAAAACAUAAUAUUCAAAACCUGAUUGAUAGCGAGGAGAUUUUGGUAAAAGCGCCAGAGUAACCCAAUGUUAAUAACAAUCCCUUACCUCAGCAUGGUGUGGAGGGAGUCAACAUGAUUAGUGCAGGAGGUCGGGAAAACCGCAAGUAUUUGAGGAAAUUAGGAAAAGCUCCUAUGAUGACUGAUCCUUCUAUAUGGGUUACCCGAAAGAAAAGUAUAUGAUGUAACAGAGCUUGGCCUCAAUCAAGGUGCAAGUAGACCAAUUAGCAGAGCUAGUUGUAUACCAACAUCAGUUGACUCGUCAGUUGAUCGAUCAAUUCCUACGAGGGAAGAUUAACAUUCCAGCUCCUAAGGUUAUCCCCUUUCCAAAGAGAGAUCAGAUUCGUCUCUAGGAACAAAAAAUGUAGUACCCCUAAAUUCGGGUCCCUUGAACCUUGGACCUGUCGAACCUGGUGCGUCACGAUACAUCAUCUUCAUACACAUUCUAUAAACUUACGCGGAAUUUAUAAACAUACAUUGUUUAUCUCAAAUGAUUCUACAACAUUUUCCAAGGUCUACAACUUUAACUUAAUACAUACCUUAAUAAUUCAAAAGGUUUACAUUAUCAUUUACAUUAAUGUAAUGGUUAAACCACUACAAAAAAAUGGUACAUCGGCGACCAAAGGUUUCUGCGACCGCCAUAUUCGGUUGCUAAUGAUAGCAUUAGCGAUUGGUAUCCAAACUAGUAUCUAUUUGAUAUUAGCAACCCAUGUCGUCGCUACAUGGUCGCUAAUUUAAAUUUGUCGCCUUCAAUUUUGGUGCAUUUUUUCCGCCUUUAAUCUGCGACCGCAUGCGGUCGCUUAUUGCGUUCGCAGAUCAUUUUGACUUUCUUAGCACUCUGACCAUUAAGUCAAUUAAAUUCAGUGACCUCAUAUGGUCGUUAAUCAUUUUAAAAAAGAUCAGCUCCUGGAUUGUCUGCC